GUCUGGCAGGCAAAGACCUAUGUUGCUCUGUGUGACAGCUGAAGACCCUGCCACUGUCCUCUACAAAGUCAUCGAGAAUGUCUACAGGAACCUAGGACAACCAUCCAGGCUGUAGGUUUGGACAGGGCCGCCCUGUGCUUGGCUGAGGACUUGCUUCGUGGGGACGGCUGUUCCUUUUGUUCUCCUGGCAGCAUUACAGUGUCCUCAACAGAGCAGAAGGGACUGACCACAGAGGAGCCUGGAGGUUAAUUUUUCAUCAGUAAGACUGACACCGUGGCCUCGCAAGAGACGACAAUGCUUAGCCAAUGGAAGCAUACAUCCUUAAUUCUGGCAUUUGGCAGACCAAGAUGGACCAACCUCUGUGAGUUCAAGGCCAGCCUGGUCUAUAUAGUGAGUUCCAGGACAGCCAGGGCUACAUAGUGAUCUGUCUCAAGAACAAUUUAUCACAUUUAAAUGUAUAUAUCUAUUUCUUUUGUGUGUUUGUAUGCAGGUGGGCAUGUGCACACCACCUUGCACGUGUGGGGAUGCGGGGAUCAGAGGACAAUUUGCUCUCUCAACUAGUUGGGUCCUGCAAGUUGAUCUUGGGUCACCAUGCUUGGCAGAAAGUGUCUUUACCUGCUGAGUUGUCUCACCACCCUUUGGAAUUUUUUGUUCUAGCUACUUCAAAAUAUACAAUAUCUUUAUAGCCAAUGGAAGCAUACAUCCUUAAUUCUGGCAUUUGGCAGACCAAGAUGGGCCAACUUCUGUGAGUUCAAGACCAUCCUGGGCUGGUAGCCCUGGGUUCUAUA